GGGUGCAAAACCCUGCUGCGGAGGCUCCGUGAGCACCUGGGACCUCCCACCUGAAAGCAACCCAACCGCCCACGGAAACAGGGUCCCCUCCUUAAGGAUCACGCAUUCUAGAAUCAUCUGUGUGGACGCCAUGGUAACCAUGAUAACGAAACAAGCCAAGGAACUGCAGACUGCUGGUUCUUGAUCUCAAGAGCUCAACCGACCCGGCCCCUUCGCCCGUUUCUCACGGCAGCUCCUCCUUCCAAUCUUCCCCUCAUUUCCCCCAGGCUGGAUCCUGGCCAACUUCUCCUGUUCUCCCACAGAGCUGAGGCCCGGCCCGGGACCCUGGGGUGUGGCGGUGGUGAGGUUCUGUGACAUGGAUCAUAAUGCCCACGGCACGUAUGGGGAGGGGCCGGCUGGUGACCUCUGAGGAGUAGGCUGUGCACUGUGGUUGUAACCAGUGGCUGCGGGCCAGCUCGUGCCUAACACCAUAGCCGUGUAUUACAGAUGCCUCGGAGCGAAGAGCAACUGUUUAGAAAGCUGUCCCUGGACCUUUAAUGAGGAUUGAUGGAAGGAGAUGAGCACGGAAGAACGAAGCCGUCGUCUAGAGCGAGGCCGCCGUGGGGGCUGCACCCGGGGCCGCGGGGCCUUUCCACACAGUGACUGCCGCAGACCCAGGAGGAGCCGCCUGCCCCACGGCUGGCAGCGUGCUGUUAGCUCUGGUCCGGGAAGAGUUGUUCUCAGGGUGUGCUAGCUUCCCACACGAGAAUAUCUUUAGAUGAGAAACCAGGCCCGCAGGGGCAAGCGGUGCUGGAAAUACACAGAGGUGCAGAGUGCAUGGGGGCGGGGGGUGUUUCCUGAGUGCACGGCGGGACAGCGAGCCCGCGUGGCCUUUUAAGGCUGCAGCGCCGCCGUGCCAUCGGCACCGUCACCCUUGCACUUGGCAUGAUGCAGCUUUAACCCUCCUCUUCAUUUCUGCGGGUGAGAAGACACCCAAAGCCAAGCUGCACGGCCGGGUUCUCUCCGGCCACUCAAGGUCCCUUCUCACCCAUCUCCUUCAGUUCCCGACACCUUCCGAAUCCAAGGCAACUGUAACUGCACUAAGGAUUCCAUCGCCUUCGAGAAUCCGUCACACACCUCCAGCUCACCUCUGAUCGGGUGUUAAGAGUUAUGGUUUCCCUGAACAAAGUCACUUCCACACCCCCGAACUUUCCAAGUUGUUCUAAUGGACCGGAAUGCAACUCAUUUACACCCAGGACUAGCUGCAGGAAGGGCGGGUUUGCUUAGGAGAACCAGCCGUCACGGCCAGCAGGGCUGAGCUGAACCAUUCAGUCACAGAGGCUCCCCACUCUUCAGAGCCAUUCCCACAAACCGAGAUCAUGAAGGGCGCUCAGGUGAGCGCGGGAUUAGCCUUGCUCCUUGAAGCCCAGGGAGCAAAGAGGUCACUAAGAGUUAAGUCUCUGGGUGUAUGGAGUUUGGUUAGUAGGAGAGAAAGUGGCGCUAAUAUAAUUAACUUAUGAAGUGUUCCACUUCUACUAUGCAUCUGACAUUAUGCAAAGUCUACACCUUACUUCUCAGUGAGCCUGGGGAUGAGAAACUAACUGGCAAUUUCUCAUACGGACUGAAUACAGAUCUACAGCGGUAGCCGACCCGUGCGGGAACUAACUCACGGGUGGAGAGACAAACUACACGGGAGACUUGAGGUGACUUCUGCAGGACAGGCAGCUAAUUUGAAAAGGAACUGAAUUAAUGGCCAGGGGAUGGGCACUCCAGGCACAGGGCACAGGGGUCUUCACAUGCCUCCCCAGUACUGAGCAGUGCUGGAGAACGGCUCAGGAGAGCGCAGCAGCUGGGAUGAGCGUCGAGACAGAGAACGCGAAGGGCCCACAGGCUGAGCUAAGGGGGUGAGACUCUGUCCAGGGCAACAGGGCUCUUCUCGUGUCACUGCAGGGAUCCGCCACCCAGUGAGCAAGCCACACGUCUCCGAUCAUUCUCAGUAAGUGGAUACACUUCACCGUGUGGAUUCAGGAGAAAAGCCUCAGAGCACCCAGGCCAGCGGGAGCAGCCGGGACCAGCAGCAGUGGCGCCCUGGGGGCUCAGGCCUGGGCCCAUCACGUACGCUUUCCUAUUGCAGGCUUCACCGCCACCUCUGCUCCUCUCCGGCAGUCUCCGGUCUGCUGACCUCGAGUCUCGCGACUGCCUCACUUUAGAGAGUAACACAGCUCCUUCCAGCAACCAGAAGUGACGGGCUUUGCUUCCAGUCCACUGCCCGAGAGCGCCCAUUGUUGCUCCAGUCCAAGUCUCGCUCUGCUACCUGACGCUCUGCUUUAUGCCUCCUGAACGUUCAGCCCGCGUCAGGGAGGAAGCCAGCGGGUUCGGAAAGGCCACCCUCUACGUCCGUUUGCCCUACCAGGAUGAAGGAGGAGACCAGGGCCAUGUAUGAGAUGGAGGCAGGACUCACACACUGGAGUUCUAGGUGUGAAUCUCCUUAAAGUCUCAGAUACUCCAGCUGCAGUAGCAAGUCCGAUCUCAGCGGGACCCUGCGAGGCUGCUAGCAGUAAAAGGACAACGAGUGACUGCACGGUUUCUGCUGGAAGGACUCAGGACCAGUAUAAAGCAGUCUUGCCGCAGAAGAAUGAAGUGAGUCUGAUCAAGGUUUCCUAAUUACUAAUUUACAGAAAAUACAGAAACAGACGCACUAAUCAACCCAAAGAUGCACUCAACAUCAUCCACACUACAGAGAACUAUGACAAAUAAUCUGAGUUCCCCACCAAACUGCAAGGGAAAAAAAGGAGAAUGAGAAGGACUAUAUCGACAGCUAAAGGAACAAUGAAACACAAAGACAGGAUGGAUUUGGGCCUCGAUUCAAUCAAACAAUAAAACAUUGUAUUUAAAAUAAAUAUUUAAAAUCUU